GCGCUCAAGUUUCGCCGCCGACUACAGCGCCAUUCCAGCCCCUGGCGGGACGCCCGAGUCCGAGUGGCUCGUUGUUUUUCGCCUCGCUUCUCCGUCGUAGGCGGUCGGAUAUAACAUUCAUUGCGAUAGAGACGAUAUAAAAGCCCGGCUAGCACGAAUAUUUCGUUGUUGAUCGCAGCAACAAUCUCCGAUAUUGUUGUAGUCGAUCCUUAAAAUUCUACCGCUUCCCUGAAAAGCCGUGCGAGACUCGAACGACGCCAAGCCUGGACCACGUCGGUGCUCCGACAAAAUGGGGGCGGUUCAGUUUUGAUUCCGCCAACGUCAGCGAGGAUCUGCAGCGUGCACUUCGUGAACACCUGCAAGGACAACGCUGAGGCUCAUCCUGCAAUAAGUCACUAGACGAGAUGCCAGCUGAGGUGUUUAAUAAAGACUAAUUGCAGGAAACCUACCAACCCUGUAAUUGCUCGUGAAAGAUUCUUAGUUAAUUUAAAUUAAUUUUCACUCCUUCGCUCGAAGAUGCAGGUGACCUUUCCUCAUCUAUGUUGCAUUCUCUAUGUGUGCCCGGUUCUUAGCCAGUUAAAAGUAUUGUUAGUUCAUUGGCAACUUCUGUAGUCUCUUUCGUCUUCGAGUUGCACGUUUUGGUUUAGUCUGUACCCCAAGAUUCAAUAUAGCUUGGCUAAAGAUGAAUAAGCUUAGGACGACUGCUUUCUCACGAACUGGGAGACAUCUUUCGUGAGAUCUGGAAUAUCUUGAACAGCUGAUCUGCCGUGCAAGAUCUCUGAAAUAAUCGGGGUUCUCGGCCCUACAAUUUCUUGGACAGUCCUUGCUUCUCGAGAUGUGUACAUCAUCUGCAAGUGUCCUGCCAGCCAUACUUCGAGUCUGCGCCAAUGUCACCGUGUUAAGAGCACGAGAAGAAUUUUUAUAUUGUCACAAGGUUGUGUGUUUACCUACUCGUGGUUGUGACAAAACUCAAUAAAAAUCGUUUUCACUGUCAACAAAA